rnacentral:rRNA from 1 species
GACGAACGCUGGCGGCGUGCUUAACACAUGCAAGUCGAACGGAGUGGCGAACGGGUGAGUAACACGUGUGUGAUCUGCCUUGCACUUCGGGAUAAGCUUGGGAAACUGGGUAUAAUACCGGAUAGUGCAAGAUGAGCUCGCGGCCCAUAAGCUUGUUGGGUGGGUACGGGCCUACCAAGGCGUCGACGGGUAGCCUGCCUGAGCGGGUGUACGGCCCAAGUGGGACUGAGCUGCGGCCCAGACCCCUACGGGAGGCAGCAGUGUGGAAUAUUACACAAUGGGCGGAAGCCUGAUGUAGCGACGCCGCGUGGGGGAUGAAGGCCUUCGGGUUGUAAACUCCUGUCGACAGGGACGCGGUACCUGUAUAAGAAGCACCGGCUAACUACGUGCCAGCAGCCGCAGUAAUAC